rnacentral:rRNA from 1 species
UGGAUCAUGUUGUUUAAUUCGAUGAUACGCGAAGAACCUUACCAGGUCUUGACAUCCCCCGCGAUGCUUUAGAGAUAAAGCGGAGGUAUUCGGGGAGACAGGUGGUGCAUGGUUGUCGUCAGCUCGUGUCGUGAGAUGUUGGGUUAAGUCCCGCAACGAGCGCAACCCCUAUUGCUAGUUACCAUCAUUAAGUUGGGGACUCUAGCGAGACUGCCAGUGAUAAACUGGAGAAGGUGGGGAUGACGUCAAAUCAUCAUGCCCCUUAUGACCUGGGCUACAAACGUGAUACAAUGGCUGGAACAAAGGGAUGCGAAGCAGUGAUGUGGAGCGAAACCCAUAAAAACAGUCUCAGUUCGGAUUGAAGUCUGCAACUCGACUUCAUGAAGUCGGAAUCGCUAGUAAUCGCGGAUCAGAACGCCGCGGUGAAUACGUUCUCGGGGUUU